CGCUGGGAGAUUUUUUGUGAUUCGCUAGCUCUCGUUGGAAAUGAAUGAGAAAGUGCGUGUAUGAAGUGGCCAAUCGUUAUUCUACCCUAAACAGGUCAACGAAUCAUCAUUAUCCGUUUUUGGUUAGGGAAACUGACAGAUUUCCGAAUGUGUCGUUCCCCGUUCUUCACUUGGAAAACGAGCAUAGUAAACGUAAACGUAGGCGGGGAAAUGGGAGGGGCGGUCGAACGGGGUGCGUUCAUUUAUGUUUCAUGCAGGGCAGCACUUUACCUGGCCAAGUUAACCUCUCCCUGAGCUCGAAUUUCCGAAGAGCCAACGUAUGGACAGAUUCCUAGCAGGAUUACUGGCUAUACAGUCAGUCUACCUUCCUUUCCUAGCUCCAGAUGACCCAUGUUAUGCUGUGGGAGUCCUAUACCAUACCCCCUCCUUCACUGCGAGAACACCCCUUAAACACCUCCUGGGACAUGCUGCUCCCCAUGAAUGAACCAGGAGUAACAGCAACAACAUUCAAAUCCAAAAAGCAGGGCAAAUACCAGUUCUAUUGAAAACAUUGGAAGUAUUUGCCAGGAAUAUACAUGUCAUCUGACAACUCCUGACGAAACUGCUCAACUGAGGUCACUUUUCCCCACAGAAACCUUACCCUGGGCAAGUUUAAACAGAGCCUCUUUAGUCCAACUGAAAAAUUCCAAUAAUGUCUUCAUCUUGUAAAACAUUUGUAAAACUUCAUCUUGUAACUCUUUUGACAAAAGGUUGUCCUAUGUUACAAUGUUAGAUAAUUAAGGCAAUUUUCUUUGGUCUUCAAAUGUAUUAGUUUACUGUUACUAUGCAUGGGUUGGGAAAAGCCUCAGACAGUCAAUGUCUUGUUGAUGUUCUCAGCGUUACUAUAAAACUUUUUAGCACCUCCUCGUUGAGUCAAUCGAAACAUCUCUGCAUCUUUCCCACUUUCCUUUUUCCGAAGAUGACACAAUGUGUUUACACCAG
ensembl:lncRNA